rnacentral:rRNA from 1 species
UAGUCCACGCCGUAAACGAUGGUCACUAGUUGUUGGGGUCUUGUACUUCAGUGAUUAAGAGAAAUUGAUAAGUGACCCACCUGGGGAGUACGAUCGCAAGAUUGAAACUCAAAGGAAUUGACGGGGGCCCGCACAAGCAGUGGAGCAUGUGGUUUAAUUCGAUGAUACGCGAGAAACCUUACCAACCCUUGACAUCCUGUGACAACUCGAGAGAUCGAGCGUUCCUUAGGGACACAGUGACAGGUGCUGCAUGGCUGUCGUCAGCUCGUGUCGUGAGAUGUUGGGUUAAGUCCCGCAACGAGCGCAACCCUUAUCUUUAAUUGCCAACAGGUAAUGCUGGGAACUUUAAAGAAACUGCCAAUGGAGAAUUGGAGGAAGGUGAGGAUGACGUCAAGUCAGCAUGGCCCUUAUGGCUUGGGCUACACACGUGUUACAAUGGUAGUUACAAUAUGAUGCAAUAGGGUGACCUGGAGCAAAUCUCAAAAAGCUAACCUCAGUUC